AGAGUUUGAUCCUGGCUCAGGAUAAACGCUGGCGGCGCACAUAAGACAUGCAAGUCGAACGGACCAAAUUUUUUAGUUUACUAAGAGAAGAGGUUAGUGGCGGACUGGUGAGUAACGCGUAAGCAACCUGCCUAUUAGUAUGGAAUAACAGUGAGAAAUCACUGCUAAUACCGUAUAAGCUGCGAAUAGCACAUGCUAUAAACAGAAAAGGAGCAAUUCGCUAAUAGAUGGGCUUGCGUCUGAUUAGUUAGUUGGUGAGGUAACGGCUCACCAAGACGAUGAUCAGUAGCCGGACUGAGAGGUUAAACGGCCACAUUGGGACUGAGAUACGGCCCAGACUCCUACGGGAGGCAGCAGUCGGGAAUAUUGCGCAAUGGAGGAAACUCUGACGCAGUGACGCCGCGUGCAGGAAGAAGGUUUUCGAAUUGUAAACUGCUUUAGACAGGGACGAAACAAAUGACGGUACCUGUAGAAUAAGCUCCGGCUAACUACGUGCCAGCAGCCGCGGUAAUACGUAGGGAGCAAGCGUUAUCCGGAUUUAUUGGGUGUAAAGGGUGCGUAGACGGAUAUACAAGUUAGUUGUGAAAUACCUCGGCUUAACUGGGGAACUGCAACUAAAACUAUAAAUCUUGAGUACUGGAGGGGAAAGCGGAAUUCCUAGUGUAGCGGUGAAAUGCGUAGAUAUUAGGAAGAACACCGGUGGCGAAGGCGGCUUUCUGGACAGCAACUGACGUUGAGGCACGAAAGUGUGGGGAGCAAACAGGAUUAGAUACCCUGGUAGUCCACACCGUAAACGAUGGAUACUAGGUGUUGGCUGUGAUGAGCAGUCAGUGCCGUCGCAAACGCAGUAAGUAUCCCACCUGGGGAGUACGACCGCAAGGUUGAAACUCAAAGGAAUUGACGGGGGCCCGCACAAGCAGUGGAGUAUGUGGUUUAAUUCGACGCAACGCGAAGAACCUUACCAAGGCUUGACAUAUACAGGAAUAACAUAGAAAUAUGUUAGCUCUUCGGAGCCUGUAUACAGGUGGUGCAUGGUUGUCGUCAGCUCGUGUCGUGAGAUGUUAGGUUAAGUCCUGCAACGAGCGCAACCCUUAUUUUCAGUUGCCAGCACGUAAUGGUGGGAACUCUGAAAAGACUGCCGGUGAUAAAUCGGAGGAAGGUGGGGAUGACGUCAAAUCAUCAUGCCCUUUAUGUCUUGGGCAACACACGUACUACAAUGGUCGUUACAGAGAGAAGCGAAAGAGUGAUCUGGAGCCAAACUUGAAAAGCGAUCUCAGUUCGGACUGAAGGCUGAAAUUCGCCUUCACGAAGUCGGAAUUGCUAGUAAUGGCAGGUCAGCAUACUGCCGUGAAUACGUUCCCGGGCCUUGUACACACCGCCCGUCACACCAUGAGAGUUGGGAAUACCCGAAGCCUGUGAGCUAACUUUUAUGAAGCAGCAGUCGAAGGUAGAAUCAAUGAUUGGGGUGAAGUCGUAACAAGGUAGCCGUAGGAGAACCUGCGGCUGGAUCACCUCCUU
rnacentral:rRNA from 1 species